UGAUGGGAGGCCGAUCUGACUGGAACAUCUGUCACCCUAUUGAUCGCCAGGGUUGUCUGGCUGAACCGGCUAGCCAGACAUGUGUCCCCUUCCUCUCACCCCGCUUCAUGUGCAUCCCUCCCCAAGCUGCAUGCUAGGCUUGGUCAAAGAGGAUCACCUUCCCUGAUGGAGAAGGACAGUUCUUUGGUCAAGGGUAUACAGGUAAGCCGCACUCCCCUGCCAAAACCUCCAAAUAAGCUCUCAAGGUUCAUUUAUAGGACAACAUAGGAUAAUUAAGCUUCCAAGAUUCCAGACACAUCCCAAUGAGGCACCACAUGUGGCAAUCUGCCUUUCUUU
rnacentral:snRNA from 1 species